UGUUCUUUUGUGAUGACGACAAUUUACCUUAGUGGAGAACCCACACAAAUAUAACAAAAUAAAAAAAACAAAUAAAACAACAAAUUACCAUUUAUAACAAUAUAUCUAACAAUGACAUUGUGUAAUGCCCGACUUUUCCCUAUUCCUUUAGAGUUGUUUUUUGAUUACUGUCGAAUUUUUUUUAGCCAACUAUCGUUUCGUUUUAUUUUGAGAGCCUAUGGAAUUUAUUUUUUUUAAGAAGCCGAAAUAUUAAAUAAUUGUCAUAUUCUUCGUGUAGUCAAAUUUAAGUCAAAUAAAUAUCUCACAAUCCCAUUACUAUACGGUUGUCUCCAUAUCUCCUUCUUUCCUUAAAAAUCUCCAACCAAAUACUCUUUGUUAAAUCUAUUUAUACUUUUCCUCCCACAAUCUCAGCAACCUACCGUUCCUGCAGUUUUCUUCCCCUUCCAACCAAGUUGAGAAGAAAUAGUUCGAGUAAGAGAGCCGAGAGUCCCCCAAAUUGUUUUCCUGCAACUCUUUGCAACAAAGGUUGGUUUCUGGGCUGCGCGGUGUCGUUUCGGGGCUGUUCGAAGAGCGAGCAGACCCGUGGCGACUGCAGACGGCGAUGGCACUGAGCGACGGCGUGGACGCGGCCAGCAUCAGCUCUUCCCGGCGGCGACAGCAGCGUCUUCCAGGCACGGUUACAACAGCACCGUUCCCUCCCGACGAGCAGUGGCCGGCGGCAUGGAGCGAAUCGGAAGAGGCGACGAAAAUUUGGGGAUCUUGUUUUCUUCCAUUUUGUGAGAGAAGGCGAAUUAGAAUAGAGAGAGAAGUCGAUGGUUUUGGGUGGAUGGUUUUUCAUUCAUUCUUUUGUUUUAUACUUUAAUGAAUUCAUACUUUAGUAGUUGAGGUGUAAAUUAAAGUGGAAGUAGAGGGGAGUAUACGUGUAAUUUUUGUAACAGGAGGUGUGCCCUUUAGUUCCAUAUUUUAAAUUUAACUAGUUCCUCUUCAA